rnacentral:tRNA from 1 species
UCAGGUUAAACUUAAAGUUAAGAUUUUCAUUUACACUGAAGUAAUUAAUCGUGCAAUUCGAUGUAAUCUGAA